rnacentral:rRNA from 1 species
AUUGAACGCUGGCGGCGUGCUUAACACAUGCAAGUCGUGCGGUAACAGGCGUAGCAAUACGUGCUGACGAGCGGCGAACGGGUGCGUAAUACAUGGGAAUCUGCCUUUUAGUGGGGAAUAACCCGGCGAAAGCCGGGCUAAUGCCGCAUAAGAUCUUCGGAUGAAAGCGGGGGAUCGUAAGACCUCGCGCUGAUAGAUGAGCCCAUGCCGGAUUAGCAGUUGGUGAGGUAACGGCUCACCAAGGCGACGAUCCGUAACUGGUCUGAGAGGACGGCCAGCCACACUGGGACUGAGACACGGUCCGGACUCCUACGGGAGGCAGCAGUGGGGAAUAUUGGACAAUGGGGGAAACCCUGAUCCAGCAAUGCCGCGUGUGUGAAGAAGGCCUGCGGGUUGUAAAGCACUUUCGGA